rnacentral:ncRNA from 1 species
UUGAAGUCGAUGAGCAGAAGAAGUAAGGGCAUGCAGUGCUUUAGCGAGCCGGAGGAGGUGGGAGUCCGGUGCAGUCAUGAAUCCUGAAAGCGCAUCUGUGAGAUGUUUUGUUGAAUGGAGUAGGCAAAACCGGAUCCAUGCGUCCGUUAACAGCAUAAGUUGGAAUACUCCAUUCUUGAGUAUUCAAUUGGAGUGGUACCGCGGAUAAUCAGCAUUCGUCUCCUGC